rnacentral:rRNA from 1 species
UACGGGGGGGGCAAGCGUUGUUCGGAAUUACUGGGCGUAAAGGGCUCGUAGGCGGCCAACUAAGUCAGACGUGAAAUCCCUCGGCUUAACCGGGGAACUGCAUCUGAUACUGGAUGGCUUGAGAUUGGGAGAGGGAUGCGGAAUUCCAGGUGUAGCGGUGAAAUGCGUAGAUAUCGGGAGGAACACCGGUGGCGAAGGCGGGUCUCUGGGCCGAUACUGACGCUGAGGAGCGAAAGCGUGGGGAGCGAACAGG